UUUACUUUUUUUUUUUUUCCCUCCUUCUCCUCACUCUUUUAUUUUUUAUUUUUAAACAUUAAUCUCUCUCUCUCCUUCUCACUUCUCAGAGAAAGUCGCCACGGAGAGAGAAGCUGGAAGCAGUGAGUGAGAGUAAUUGAAAAGAGAGAGAGAGGAAGAAGGAGAAAGUAGGUUUGUCUUAAAUGAGGAGAGUGUUGCAGAGAGUGGGUGCAGUUACCAUGGCGGCGUUGCAGAAGUCUAAUUCCGUGCCAUUAUUGCUUUAAACAACGAAAGAGAAGUGGAGAAAGCUGGCUCUCUCCUAGUCAGGGAAACCCAUCUUCUAUAGUCUCUUACCCUAAACAAAAUUAUUUCAAUUUCGAUUUCUUUUUUUUUUUCUUAAUUACCUCAAAAAGCUGCAAAAGCAACCCAAACAGCAAGAUCAGAUAUUCAGGGAGAGUCAGAAUCAGAAGAAAGAGAAGAAGAAGAGGAAGAUCAAGUCACAGACUCACAGUGAACACUCACUUAAAAAUCUCUGUUAUAAACCCAGCCACCAAUUUUCAACUCCCAACAUAAACCCAGAAAUCAAAGCCCACUGAUCUUGCAGAUUUCAAUAGCUACUUCUCGGUAUUUAGUUUUGCUAUGGAUUUUUGGUCUAAAUUGGGGUUGGUUUUAGCUUGUGGGUGCAAGAUAUGGCUGGGUGGUUCUAUCUAAGCGGGAGAGAAGGAGCAACAAGUAAACAAGAGGAAGAGAAAGACCAACAUAACAACCUUUUUUUAUACAGAUCAAACGAGGAGAUCUACAACAAAGGAUUUGAGAUAUGGCCGCAGUAUUAUCAGCAACAGCAAAACAUGAACAGCUACUCCUCGUUUGGAGUGGGUCCUAGUCGAAGAAGUUUCUCUGAUGAGUCGUCGAGAUCAGGCUUUACGGUGAUGAGGCAAGGUGGAAUAGGAGGAGGAGGAAUGAACUGUCAAGAUUGUGGGAACCAAGCAAAAAAAGAUUGUGCCCAUUUGAGAUGUAGAACUUGUUGUAAAAGCCGAGGGUUUCAGUGCCAAACCCACGUCAAGAGCACUUGGGUCCCUGCUGCUAAAAGGCGUGAGAGGCAACAACAGCUAGCUGCUUUGCAACAAGAACAGCAGCAGCAGCAGCACAAUCAAGAACAACAGCAACUACAGUUUCGAGGAGAGAAUCCAAAAAGGCUGAGAGAGAAUCAAGGUGGUGCUUCCUCUCUUGCCUGCACUCGUUUAGCCACUACCACCUCAGGUUUAGAAGUUGCGCAUUUUCCUCCGGAAGUGAAUUCCACAGCAGUGUUUCGUUGCGUUAGAGUAAGCGCAAUGGAUGAACCAGAUGAGCAGUAUGCAUAUCAAACGGCUGUCAACAUUGGAGGUCAUGUAUUCAGGGGAGUUCUCUAUGAUCAAGGUCCUGAUGGCCGUUACACCAGUGGAGGAGAGAGCUCCUCCGGAGGAGUCCAGCAGCUAAAUCUCAUCACAGCAGCCACAACUAGCCCUGCAGCAACUACAACAAACGCUAGCAACCCAGGUACUGGAGCUUUGCUCGACCCAUCUCUAUAUCCAGCUCCACUCAAUGCUUUUAUUGCUGGUACGCAAUUCUUCCCACCCCCAAGGUCCUAGCUAGUUUAAAAAGGUCUCUCUAAGCUCUAUGUAUUUGCAUUAUCUUAACAAACCUUCAUUUGUCAACAAUUUGUCCUAGUUUAUAAAUGUUGGGUUUUUUAUCUACUGUUAUUGUGGGUUAUUCUUGUAGUUUUUUUCAAGUUUAACAUGCACCCAAUGAAGUUGAAGAGGAGUAAGAUCGAGCAUAGGAAUUAGAAAUUUGUGGAGCAUAUGGAUGCGUGCGGUGUGUGCUUUCUUUCUCUUCUUUAUUUUUAAGAAAAAGAAAAAAGAAAAGAAAUUUCGUAUUUAAGAUUGCUUAAGUGGUUGAUCUUGAGUUUGCUUUCUGGCUGGUGAUGAACUCGAAGCUGCUUUUUUUCCCGUUUAUCAGUUUGCUUGCCGGCUUAAAAUGGGAAUAGGAAGGAUUAGGUUUCGUGUUUGAUUUAACAAAGAGUUUAAAACCCUUUAUAUAUACAUGCAUAUAUUUUCCAA